GCAUAUGAUGAAUUAAACAUUCUUCACUUUGACCUGAGUAACCCAGUGAUGACAACCUUCAGCCUGAGC